GAUGAACGCUGACAGAAUGCUUAACACAUGCAAGUCUUUGGCGAAGCUGUGCUUGCACAGCCUAGCCAAGGCGGACGGGUGAGUAACGCGUAAGGAACUUGCCCUGCAGUCAGGGAUAACAGACGGAAACGACUGAUAAGACCUGGUAAAGUCAGGCGGACUCAUGUCCAGCCUGAUGAAAAGAGAUGCUGCAGGAGAGCCUUGCGUCCUAUUAGCUUGUUGGUGGGGUAACGGCCCACCAAGGCGAUGAUAGGUAGCCGGCCUGAGAGGGUGGACGGCCACAAGGGGACUGAGAUACGGCGCUUACUCCUACGGGAGGCAGCAGUGGGGAAUAUUGGACAAUGGGGGCAACCCUGAUCCAGCAAUCCUGUGUGCACGAUGAAGGUUUUCGGAUUGUAAAGUGCUUUCAGCAGGGAAGAAAAAAUGACGGUACCUGCAGAAGAAGCGACGGCUAAAUACGUG
rnacentral:rRNA from 1 species